UACGAAGGGGGCUAGCGUUGCUCGGAAUCACUGGGCGUAAAGCGCACGUAGGCGGCUUUUUAAGUCAGGGGUGAAAUCCUGGAGCUCAACUCCAGAACUGCCUUUGAUACUGAGAAGCUUGAGUCCGGGAGAGGUGAGUGGGACUGCGAGUGUAGAGGUGAAAUUCGUAGAUAUUCGCAAGAACACCAGUGGCGAAGGCGGCUCACUGGCCCGGUACUGACGCUGAGGUGCGAAAGCGUGGGGAGCAAACAGG
rnacentral:rRNA from 1 species